AUGGGCCAGUCGUACGCUUCGGUGCUGAGUACGCCGUCAAUGCAUCCCUGACGACCGCUCGCUGCGUUUUUUAGCC
rnacentral:sRNA from 2 species